GACGAACGCUGGCGGCGUGCCUAAUACAUGCAAGUCGAACGCAGUGGGGACGGGUGAGUAACACGUGGGUAACCUCCCAUCAGAGGGGAUAACACUUGGAAACAGGGGCUAAACCGAUACUGAUGGAUGGACACGCGGUGCAUUAGCUAGUUGGUGAGGUAACGGCUCACCAAGGCCACGAUGCAUAGCCGCCCUGCGAGGGUGAUCUGCCACACUGGGACUGAGCCACGGCCCAGACUCCUACGGGAUGCAGCAGUAGGGAAUCUUCGGCAAUGGACGAAAGUCUGACCGAGCAACGCCGCGUGAGUGAUGAAGGUCUUCGGAUCUUAAAACUCUGUUAUUAGGGAAGCGUUACCUAAUCAGCAAGCCACGGCUAACUACGUGCCAGCCGCCGCGGUAAUUC
rnacentral:rRNA from 1 species